CCUGUGCCAACAUUGUGUUCUGUGAAAAGAGAGUCCUGCCAAGGGCUACGAGGCAGAAAACUGAUAUUAUUAAAGUGGUCUUCUGAACGCAACUCUCUGCAAGGUCCUAAGGGUUCUAAGUUGAAUAAGGCCCACUCCCUCCCUUCCAGGACUUUAGCUGAGGUUGGUUGGGGCAGAAGUCGGGCAAGACUCAUCGGAACGGAUUAACAGAGACAGAAUCCAGAGGCAACGGGGUGAAUUCCAAGUAUAGAAAAGACACACUUGGUCUGAGGGUAUGUUUCAGCUCAGGCAUGCUGCCAUCAGGACCACGUAAAGCUGGAUUUUUCUACGCUAGUCCAUUUGCACGAUCUGGACUCAGAAGAGAUUUAAGUUUCAAAUCUGGCUUUGUCAGUUAAUGCUUGUGGGAUCUCAACCACGUCACUGACUUCUCUGAGCAUGCUUCCAUAUUUCUACAAAGGAAACAAUAGGUGACUCUGCUGAGUUGAGCACUUGCGAGUACCAAGCAGUAAGUGUUUUACACCUAUUUACUCAUUUAAUCCUCCUGAAAAUCCGUGUGACACCUGUGUUGUUAUUACCCCCAUUUGACAGGUGAGGACCUGAGGCACAGAUGCUAACCAGCUUGCUGGAGAUCACACACUCAUGAGUGGCAGAGUGGGGCUUGGAACCGGGUAGCCUGGCUCUGGAGCCCUCACUCCAUCCACACACCAUGCUGGGACCCAGUCGAGUGACCAGCAGACCGGUUGUGUGGGUUAGGUGGAAUGGUGGAUAUAAACCACACAGCCCAGCUCCUGACCCAUGCUGGGCCCUCAGUAAGUUACUACUUUCAUUAUUAUACAUGCGUAGAUGAAAGUUGGGUGGUAAUAGUGAUUUUCCCUAAGAUGAUGGAACUUUACGUGCCUUUGCCUUUUCUUACCUGUAUAUUCCUGAAAUCAACAGGUUCUACUUUUGUCACAAGAAGAGAGGAAAUAAUUGUACUUUUUUUUUUUUGAGAUGGAGUCUCAAUCUGUCACCCAGGCUGGGGUGCAGUGGCACAAUCUCGGCUCACUGCAACCUCCGCCUCCUGGGUUCACGCCAUUCUCCUGCCUCAGCCUCCCGAGUAGCUGGGACUACAGGCGCCCGCCACCACGCCUGGCUAAUUUUUUGUAUUUUUUAGUAGAGACGGGGUUUCACCAUGUUAGCCCCUUGAUAUGGUUAGGCCUUGUGUCCCCACCCAAAUCUCAUCUUGAAUUAUAAUCCCUGUAAUUCUCAUAAGCUUCACAUGUCAAGGGAGAGACCAGGUGGAGGUAAUUGAAUCAUGGGGGUAGUUCCCCAUGCUGUUCUUGUGAUAGUGAGUUCUCACGAGAUCUGAUGAUUUUAUACGUGUUUGGUAGUUCCUCCUGAAUUCCUUCUCAUUCCUGCCGCCUUCUGAAGAAGGUGCCUUGCUUCCCCUUCACCUUCUGCCGUGAUUGUAACUUUCCUGAGGCCUCCCCAGCCAUGCUGAACUGUGAGUCAAUUAAAACUCUUCCCUUUAUAAAUUUAUAAAUUUAUAAAUUCUUUAUAGCAGUGUGAAACGGGACUAAUACACCCUUCUUGACUUGCUUAUGUGACUUGCUUAUGUGACUUGCUCAUUUCCAGCAUGAGGCAGGAAAGGAUAGAAGCCUUUCAGAGCCUGAGCCAAGUUCCUCCUCACAGAAGCACAGAGGACACUUACUCCAUCUCUGAAAAAGCUGCCCACACCCCACCUCCAUCCAGCCUUCCAAAAGCCACCACGAAUGACCCGUAGGAGGGGCAGAGUGUGCCACUUGCUACGGACCAGAACCUCUGGGGAGCGGGGAUCAUCUCUGUGUCUCUCUGCUUCAACUGCAUUUAAAAUGAACAUUCUUAAUGAUAAACCUUUCCGUGUGUAAAGAAGGGCGUGGAAAAAUGUAUGUACUGGAGACUCGGGUAAUGACUUUCUAAGUGUGGAAAAUUUUCCCCCAAAGUGUUUCCAAAUAUAGAAAAGUCACAUAAUAAAUGAUGAGGGCUCAUAAACCUUUCUGGCAGCAGUUGCAGGGGUCAGAACAAGGAAGAAGGAAUUCCCAGCUCCUAGGGCCUCGCAUCCCACACUGUCUUCUGGGCUACUGUGCAACCAAUGGUUCCGUAUCUGUACGUACCCAGGGGCU
ensembl:lncRNA LINC00486 long intergenic non-protein coding RNA 486